CCCGCGGGCAGGGGCUGCGGGGACAGCCUCGCCACGGGAGCCGGCUCCCAAACGCACGGAGCGGCGAGGAACAUGGGCUCUGCCCAGUCCCUCCUUAAAAGAGCGCAGAUACUGAACUGCCGGGAAACUACCUGCCUGAAACUCCACAGAAGCCCCAUGCGAGUGGUGCCUAUUGUUUCCAUGAGCGGAGCCUCCUCUCAGUAAGUCCCUGAUUUUUGUCUUGCCUCUUGGUUUUCUGAGGUCUGUCCUGUGCUGUCACAAUUAAUGCAGAAUCCUUUGGACUCUCCGGCUUGCUGCAUCACCAAAAGAGCACGAGCACAGGGUCUGAUGGCUUUUAUUCUUCAGUGGGCACUGACAUGCUUAGAAAAUAAUCUUACCUGGUUCUGGCUGUAGGGUGAAGUGAUUUUUCUCUUGUGUUUCUCCUUGUACAUGUUUGGGUUGUGUCACUGUCGUGUUUGUGUCACCUCUGGCUGAUUACCUCGUGUUCAGAUUACUCACAGACACUUUUUUCCCCUGGAACAGCUAUGGAUAAUUAAU
rnacentral:lncRNA from 1 species